CACAGUUCACAGUUGUUUCAAAAUACAGCUCUCUCUGUCUGCAUCCUAGAAACAAAGUCCAUAGUUAUUCUCCCAAUUUGUUGGAAUAUGUGAUAUGAUACCUAAAGGGCUUUCCAAUUUUGAAGCAAGAGCUUAGAGAGAGAAGGAAAACAAAGUAUGGCAAAAAGCCAUGGAGAAGGGUUUAAGCAUAAGAUAAAGUCAUUGCUUGGGAUACGAAAAGCAAAUACUAUCCAGAAAGCAGGGAUUGAGAAUGAAGAAGAACAUGGUUUCAUCUUCUCCCCGGAUGUGCUUAAGGAGAUCACCAAGGAAAAUAAUUUUGGUCACAGAGCCAGAGUAUUGAAAGAGUUAUGUGAAGUUGUCUCAACAAGAAAACUUGAAGAGGUUGAAAUUUGUUUUUGAUUUUGUUUCUAUUCAGGCAUUAUUAGAAUAGGGAAAUAUAUUAUAUUUUUAAAAAUCAGCAAAGCAUGCAAACCCGUAAAGGAUUUGUGGCAAGGGGAACUGCUUUUUAUAUAUGAUUCAGAAAAUGUAUCUCAAGAAUUGCAUAUUUUGGCCUAGGAAGUGGAAAGAACAUACCUUUUUAUAACAAGAAACUUGAAAAAUUCACUGUUCUUGAAAAAUUCACUGUUCUUUCAUUCCCCUUCUCAAAGAGUACAAUUUUUUUAGUUGAAUUGGCCAAAAAAGCUGUGGAAAUUGUGUUUUCCUUAUUGAUCAGUGUCACUGAUUACCAUAUUUUGCUAUCUAUAAGAUGCAUAAGACGCACUAGAAUUCCAUGUUUGAAUUAAAAAAAAUUUAGUUUUUACUGUGUGUCUUACCAUGUAUAAGACACACCCCCUUUUCUCAGUUCUUGUAAAGCAUGUAUCUUUGAGUGAAAGAUUAAACUCGAGAAUACUCUAGACAGCAAGGGCAGAUUUUGUAACAAUAGGUUCUUUGGUUUGUUUACAUUUUGUUGACUAGCCAAUCAGAGAGCUCUAUUUCUAUGGCGUCAUCUUAUGGUAAUGGCGGAUGGAGGGGUUUGCUGUGGAGAAAACCACACCCUCGUUUUUUCCUCGCGACGAAAAUAUACUUUGAGAAAAACUCGAGAUUUUUUGCACCCGUAUAGAACGAUAAAUUUUACAUGUAAUUUUAUUGGCACUAAGCUCUGCGUUUACUGCUCUUUGCGUGAUCGCUCGCUAUUGACAUCCCUUUUUGCACGCCCUCAAUCGCUCGACGAUCGAUUGCACUUCCGCACAAAAACAAAUUCAAAAAACGUUAUAGUUUGCAUCUGUACAAUAUUAUUUGACAAUAUAACUGGAAAAUAAGGUAAAUUGUACUAGGAAAAUUAAAGUGUUAAAAACGAAAUUUUGAGCAUCGCCCUUUGUCAAGUUAUAGAACAAAUUUAGAUUGGCAAAAGGACUUUUCAAAAAUACAUGAGGGUCCACCAGAUAGUUUAUAAGAAACGAUAAUGUUUUUGAGAAACCAUUCCAAGAUGAACCAAGACGUUAAAAUAUUGCCAACCUUCUUCAUUUUUUUCUGUUAUUAGCUUUUGUUGAAAUAUGAAACCUUUGCAGUACAAUCUUUACGCAAAUAAACCAAUGUCAAAUCAACGCAGAGCAGAAAAGUCAGGUGGUUAGAACUCAAUUACAAAUUGGCCAAUGAAACAUUAUAAUUUUUUAUAAACUCGUUCUCAAGACACAAAAACUUUUGAAAAACAACGUGUUUACUUUCAGUUGGGAAGAUUAUUUGCAUGGAGAUGCCAACAAUCAAUUACAAAUCAUGUAUAACAUUUAGUAACAUUUUACCAGACCAUAAACGUUCUUGAAAAGCAGGCAUUUUAUUCAGUGCAAAAGCUGCUUUCUUUACCGCUGCAAGUCUUGCUGAAAUCGAUAAGUACGAGUGUACAUUUGUAAUUGUUUACUUUGCUUCUUGCAAUAUUUAUGGACAGAUUUUAAAAGUUAUGAUUUUCAACUUCAAUUUACAAUUUUCUGUAAACAUUUUAUUCAAUUUUGUGCGAUGAAGCAAACCAGUUUCGAUGCAAACUGGUUAGGGCAGAACGUUCGACCAUUUGUCUCGCGAGAGUUCUUGUUCUUUUUGAACGUGACCAAAAUUUUAUGCUUCUUGCUUUCAAAUUAUUUUGCAAUUUUCUAAAUCAGCAGUUUUUUGCAUUCAAUUAUACGAACAAUUAAAUAAUAGCUUUUCUUCGAUCAUUGUGAUAAAACAUUAUU